rnacentral:piRNA from 1 species
GCUUCUUAGGUUGAUUGGUGUCUCAAGU